rnacentral:rRNA from 1 species
AAGUCGUAACAAGGUUUCCGUAGGUGAACCUGCGGAAGGAUCAUUACCGAGUGCGGGCCCCUCGGGGCCCAACCUCCCACCCGUGUUGCCCGAACCUAUGUUGCCUCGGCGGGCCCCGCGCCCGCCGACGGCCCCCCUGAACGCUGUCUGAAGUUGCAGUCUGAGACCUAUAACGAAAUUAGUUAAAACUUUCAACAACGGAUCUCUUGGUUCCGGCAUCGAUGAAGAACGCAGCGAAAUGCGAUAACUAAUGUGAAUUGCAGAAUUCAGUGAAUCAUCGAGUCUUUGAACGCACAUUGCGCCCUCUGGUAUUCCGGAGGGCAUGCCUGUCCGAGCGUCAUUGCUGCCCUCAAGCCCGGCUUGUGUGUUGGGCCCCGUCCCCCCCGCCGGGGGGACGGGCCCGAAAGGCAGCGGCGGCACCGCGUCCGGUCCUCGAGCGUAUGGGGCUUCGUCACCCGCUCUAGUAGGCCCGGCCGGCGCCAGCCGACCCCCAACCUUUAAUUAUCUCAGGUUGACCUCGGAUCAGGUAGGGAUACCCGCUGAACUUAAGCAUAUCAAUAA